ensembl:lncRNA
GAACUCUCCAGAUCCAACAUUUCCUCCUCAGCUCCAUGUGCGUUUUGAUGCCCCACGUUUUGGCUGUUGUGCGAUAUGCCCUGCAGAUCCAAGGCAUGAGCAAAGCCGUGUGCUCCUGCUUGUAGCCCAGCGGGGAACCCCACUUGCCAGCUGUGAGGCUGCUGAAGGAGUUCCAAAGCAGGGAGAACCUCCCCAAAGUGCAGCUCAUGUCUCUGCGGUGAGCAAACAGGACCGAGGGCUGUGAGCUCAACGUGAGGUGUCACUGAAGAAGUUUCCAGUUGCUCUUUGCGUUGGCAGCAGGGCUGUAGGAUGGGGUUCCAGACCGGAGCUCUGGUGUGCUGCUGGACCUCAGGGUUGGAUGGGAACCCCCACGAUGAGCUGCUCAGUUCUGGGAUGAGUGGUGGAGAAAUGCCCAAAUCGAAGCCCUCUUUCUGCACAGAUAGGAAACCAACGGGCAGAGAGCUUGGAAGGAAAAUGGGUUGGUUGUUC